rnacentral:rRNA from 1 species
UACGGAGGGUGCAAACGUUGCUCGGAAUCAUUGGGCGUAAAGCGCACGUAGGCGGUCGGCUAUGUCGGAUGUGAAAGCCUCGGGCUUAACCCGAGAAGGGCAUCCGAAACUGGCCGGCUUGAGUACGGAAGAGGGUCUCGGAAUUCCCGGUGUAGAGGUGAAAUUCGCAGAUAUCAGGAGGAACACCAAUUGCGAAGGCAGCUCGCUGGGACGUUACUGACGCUGAGACGCGAAAGCGUGGGGAGCAAACAGG